UACGUAGGGUGCGAGCGUUGUCCGGAAUUACUGGGCGUAAAGAGCUCGUAGGCGGUUUGUCGCGUUGUUCGUGAAAACUCACAGCUCAACUGUGGGCGUGCGGGCGAUACGGGCAGACUAGAGUACUGCAGGGGAGACUGGAAUUCCUGGUGUAGCGGUGAAAUGCGCAGAUAUCAGGAGGAACACCGGUGGCGAAGGCGGGUCUCUGGGCAGUAACUGACGCUGAGGAGCGAAAGCGUGGGGAGCGAACAGG
rnacentral:rRNA from 1 species